rnacentral:rRNA from 1 species
UCCUACGGGAGGCAGCAGUGAGGAAUAUUGGUCAAUGGACGAAAGUCUGAACCAGCCAUGCCGCGUGCAGGAUGACUGCCCUAUGGGUUGUAAACUGCUUUUAUACGGGAAUAAACCUCCGAACGUGUCCGGGGCUGAAGGUACCGUAAGAAUAAGGAUCGGCUAACUCCGUGCCAGCAGCCGCGGUAAUACGGAGGAUCCAAGCGUUAUCCGGAUUCAUUGGGUUUAAAGGGUCCGCAGGCGGGGUAUUAAGUCAGUGGUGAAAGCCUACAGCUCAACUGUAGAAUUGCCAUUGAUACUGGUACUCUUGAGUGUAGUUGAGGUGGGCGGAAUAAGUCAUGUAGCGGUGAAAUGCAUAGAUAUGACUUAGAACACCGAUUGCGAAGGCAGCUCACUAAACUAUUACUGACGCUGAUGGACGAAAGCGUGGGGAGCGAACAGGAUUAGAUACCCUGGUAGUCCACGCCGUAAACGAUGAUCACUCGCUGUUGGCGAUAUACUGUCAGCG